UUUUAUAAAACUUGAUGAAAGAAAGAUGAUAAUUAAAUCUUAUCUCCUGAUUAGUGUAAUAGCCUUACGAGAUUAAUUGUGGAGAAAAUGAAGUUUCUAAUCAUUAUAGUGCUCAUAUGUUCAUUAGGUAAGCUAUUUAGAGUCUGGUUUAGAAGAGAGCGAGACGGAAAUAUUACUAUACUGGCUAUGGAUGUCAUUGGUCUUUGCUGCAGGAACUAUCAUUUGCAGACUCUAGAGUUGGGGCUAAGAAAAUGAAGUUUUUAUGCUUAAAAUGGAGAAUAAGUUUGAUUUAACUCCUGGAAUUACACUUUUGAGAGGCAGAUCUGAGGUCUUUCCCUUUGGUAACGUAACACACUAUAAUAUAAAAGAUAGGACAAAAUGACAACAAGUAGUUGGACCUUUAAGGGUUAAAAUCUUUUCUUUAAUCAUUCUGCUAGCAUUGGUUUGUGUUUAGGUACUUAAUAUUUUCAAAUUAGCUGCUGCAAGUUUGUAGGUUUGGUUUAAAGAAAUAUCAACCAUAAGGUGCUGAAAGGUGGCUAGAACAAGCUUUUGAAUUUGUGUUGUUUUGAAAACCAUAAUUGUUUUUGCCUCUUAACUAGAUUAGGAUGUAUUUUGGAAACCUACCUUCUAUAGGUUUUUUCCUUAUUUAUUUCCUUCCUCUACUGAAUGUUAGCUAGCAUGUAACUUUCAAGGAAUCAUGGAUAGAUGCUCCCUUCAAAUAAAUUCGACUGAAUUUGAGAGAAUUCUUAUCAGCAUGAAUUUGUUGAAGGUCAAGCUUACCUUAAACUUUUUUUUAACAACAAACAAAACUUUUCAUUAAUAGACUAAUGCUCAAAAGAUCUAGCUCCCAAGAGGGUGGGAAUACAUAAAACAGUGAUAACAAGGCAUCCGAAGUAAGACAUAACAUAGAAGAGCAAAGGCCUGGAGAACAGAACACCAUGAUAAGAAUGGUAAUCUUGCGGAAACAAAUCAAACAAACCAAGAAAUGAACUGAGCUAUAGACAACUAACCAACCACAAAGCUAUCCAAACUGAGUUAAAGUCUUCACCAUCUUCAACUUCUUAUAAAAAAUUCUAAGGAAAUGCAGGAAUGAGUCAACCAAAAGGGAAACUCCCAAAGAACUUCAAAUUUCCGGCAUAAUCCAAAAAGAUACCUUAAACAAAUGCAUUGGGGAAUGGACAGAUUCAACCAGGCUAGAAGAAACUGAAGCUCCCCUAUCAAAUUUUGAUGAGCAUCCAAACAAAAGCACCAGCAAUUUAAAUGACCUCCCCAAACCUCAAGUAAAAAAA